AGAGGGCCCAAAAGAGUAUUGCAUAACACUCCUCUCCACAGGCAAAGUAGACAAUGAUGAUGUGCUUAAUUUGGGUCCUUCAUUUCAGGAAGUGCCAUGCCCAGGCAUGUUCAUGGGGCCAAUCCACCUGAAACUGGAUAUAAGACAGUACAACUCUGUGAAAUUCUCAUAAACAAGUAGAGAAACAUAGAAUUGGAUACACUGAAGUGCAUAUAUUAUUCCAAAGCUAUGUCAAAGGGGUUAUGCUCUAUGGAAUGGCUUCCUCUAUCUGAUGCCAUUGAUAACAUGAUCUGAUGCCAUUGAUAACAUGAAUAUAUAAUAUUAAGGUCGGUUACAUUUACUAUUCAUUCUUCUUUCUCUCUCUCUCUCUCUCACUAGUUUACUAUGGUUUUCUUGAUGUGGCCAGCCUUUUUUGGUGAAGGUUCAUUCUCUGUGUUUUGCAUAAGAGGCUUCUUUCUAUUGCUUUUGCAACUUUUGUGCUGUUCUUAUUGUUGUUUGUCUUUCUUCUCUGAUGGUUCUAUAACUUAAUAUGCCAUGUUGAUCAUUAUUUUAUUACGUCUAUGCAGGAUUAUGCGUUGUUAAUUUUAUUCAUAAAUGUUAGAUUAGUGAUUUAUUAAUAUGCUGAUGAUUUCUCUAGUAUUUUUUUUUACUACUAUAUAGCUAGCCAGUCACGAAUCUUGAAUUUUAUUUUAUUAGGGGGGAGAAAACUAAUGUAGUGUCCUUAACUUUUUCUUUAUUAAUCAAAAGUCUAGUUGAAGUUGAACUACUCUUCUGUUAAAAACUUUAGAAAAUAAAAGGAGAGCUUCAUCUUAAAACUUAAAAAGUUCAAUUUAAUGUAACCCGUAGUAAUCUAGCUAGCUACUUAGAGCAUCGGCAGCAUAGCUGCCAACAGAGUUGUUAUUGUUUAGGUGGGUGCCUUAGCACGUUACGUAUUAUUGGCAACGUUGCUAUGUAAUUUUAUUUUAGUUAUAUUUGUGUACUAAUUUAAUAAAAUAUAAAAUUUAGCAUUUUAAAGAUA